GAUGAACGCUGGCGGCGUGCCUAAUACAUGCAAGUCGAGCGAACAGACGAGGAGCUUGCUCCUCUGACGUUAGCGGCGGACGGGUGAGUAACACGUGGAUAACCUACCUAUAAGACUGGGAUAACUUCGGGAAACCGGAGCUAAUACCGGAUAAUAUAUUGAACCGCAUGGUUCAAUAGUGAAAGACGGUUUUGCUGUCACUUAUAGAUGGAUCCGCGCCGCAUUAGCUAGUUGGUAAGGUAACGGCUUACCAAGGCAACGAUGCGUUGCCGACCUGAGAGGGUGAUCGGCCACACUGGAACUGAGACACGGUCCAGACUCCUACGGGAGGCAGCAGUAGGGAAUCUUCCGCAAUGGGCGAAAGCCUGACGGAGCAACGCCGCGUGAGUGAUGAAGGUCUUCGGAUCGUAAAACUCUGUUAUUGGGGAAGAACAAAUGUGUAAGUAACUAUGCACGUCUUGACGGUACCUAAUCAGAAAGCCACGGCUAACUACGUG
rnacentral:rRNA from 1 species